rnacentral:rRNA from 1 species
CGGUGGUGUCCACCUCUUCCCAUUCCGAACAGAGAAGUUAAGCCCACCAGAGCCGAUGGUACUGCGGUAACACGUGGGAGAGUAGGUCGGUGCCAAAU